rnacentral:rRNA from 1 species
AUUGAACGCUGGCGGCAGGCCUAACACAUGCAAGUCGAGCGGAUGAAGGUAGCUUGCUACCUGAUUCAGCGGCGGACGGGUGAGUAAUGCCUAGGAAUCUGCCUGGUAGUGGGGGACAACGUUUCGAAAGGAACGCUAAUACCGCAUACGUCCUACGGGAGAAAGUGGGGGAUCUUCGGACCUCACGCUAUCAGAUGAGCCUAGGUACGAUUAGCUAGUUGGUGAGGUAAAGGCUCACCAAGGCGACGAUCGUUAACUGGUCUGAGAGGAUGAUCAGUCACACUGGAACUGAGACACGGCCCAGACUCCUACGGGAGGCAGCAGUGGGGAAUAUUGGACAAUGGGGGGAAACCCUGAUCCAGCAAUGCCGCGUGAGUGAUGAAGGCCUUAGGGUCGUAAAGCUCUUUUACCAGGGAUGAUAAUGACAGUACCUGGAGAAUAAGCUCCGGCUAACUCCGUGCCAGCAGCCGCGGU